rnacentral:rRNA from 1 species
CGAAAGCCUGACGCAGCAACGCCGCGUGCGGGAUGAAUGCUCUCGGGUUGUAAACCGCUUUCAGGAGGGACGAAAAUGACGGUACCUCCAGAAGAAGCCCCGGCCAACUACGUGCCAGCAGCCGCGGUAACACGUAGGGGGCGAGCGUUGUCCGGAUUUAUUGGGCGUAAAGAGCUCGUAGGCGGUUCGGCAAGUCGGGUGUGAAAUUUCGAGGCUCAACCUCGAAACGCCACUCGAUACUGCUGUGACUGGAGUCCGGUAGAGGAGUGCGGAAUUCCUGGUGUAGCGGUGAAAUGCGCAGAUAUCAGGAGGAACACCAACGGCGAAGGCAGCACUCUGGGCCGGUACUGACGCUGAGGAGCGAAAGCGUGGGGAGCAAACAGGAUUAGAUACCCUGGUAGUCCACGCCGUAAACGUUGGGCACUAGGUGUGGAGGGCUGUCAACGCCCUCCGUGCCGUAGCUAACGCAUUAAGUGCCCCGCCUGGGGAGUACGGCCGCAAGGCUA